rnacentral:misc_RNA from 1 species
UCCGGUUUGUCACCGGCAGUCUUGCAUGAGUCCCCGGCCGAACCGCUGGCAACAUGCAACGGGGGUUGCGCUCGUUGCGGGACUUAACCCAACACCUCACGGCACGAGCUGACGACAGCCAUGCACCACCUGUGAAAGUGUCCCGAAGGAAAGCCGUGUUUCCACGACGGUCACUCACAUGUCUAGCCCAGGUAAGGUUCUUCGCGUUGCGUCGAAUUAAACCACAUGCUCCGCUGCUUGUGCGGGUCCCCGUCAAUUCCUUUGAGUUUUAAUCUUGCGACCGUACUCCCCAGGCGGGAUGCUUAAUGCGUUAGCUGCGCCACUGAAGGGUAAACCCACCAACGGCUAGCAUCCAUCGUUUACGGCGUGGACUAC